AGCUUUGCACAGUGACAGUAUCAUAGCCAAUGAGGUUUAUCCGAGGCGCGAUUAUUGCUGAUUUUGACUCAGGUCAUGAUCUCAGGGUUGUGAGAUGGAGCCCCACGAGAUGGGCUCUGUGAUGGGUGUGGAGCCUACUUAAGAUUCUCUCUCUCCCUCUUCCUCUGCAUAUCCCUUCUCUCCCUGUCUUAAAAAAAAAAAAAUUCUCUGGAGUUUUAUAAAGAUACAACUGCAUUAUUGUACCAAGUAAUAAUUU
rnacentral:snRNA from 1 species